rnacentral:rRNA from 1 species
UUGCGGUUAAAAAGCUCGUAGUUGGAUCUUGGAGUGUGAGUGAAUGGUCGAUCGAAAGAUUGUACUGUUCGGCACACUCUUCUCUUCGGUUGCGUGUGUAGUGCCCUUAACUGAGUGCUGCACUCGACCGGAAUUUUUACCUUGAAAAAAUUAGAGUGUUCAAAGCAGGCUUUCGCUUGAAUACAUUAGCAUGGAAUAACAUGAUAGGACUCCGAUCCCAUUGUGUUGGUCUUCGGGACUGGAGUAAUGAUUAAGAGGGACAGUUGGGGGCAUUCGUAUUUCAUUGUCAGAGGUGAAAUUCUUGGAUUUAUGAAAGACGAACUUCUGCGAAAGCAUUUGCCAAGGAUGUUUUCAUUAAUCAAGAACGAAAGUUGGGGGCUCGAAGAUGAUUAGAUACCAUCGUAGUCUCAACCAUAAACGAUGCCGACUAGGGAUUGGCGGAUGUUACUUGAUGACUUCGCCAGCACCUUGUGAGAAAUCAAAGUCUUUGGGUUCCGGGGGGAGUAUGGUCGCAAGGCUG